rnacentral:tRNA from 1 species
GCCCUGAUAGUAUAAAUAUUACCCUGGUCUUGUAAACCAGAAAUGAGGAACUUAUCCUCUCAGGGCA